rnacentral:rRNA from 1 species
UACGGAGGGUGCAAGCGUUGUCCGGAAUCACUGGGCGUAAAGGGCGCGUAGGCGGCUCAUGAAGGCUGUGGUGAAAGUCCGGGGCUCAACCUCGGAUCGGCCGUGGCGACUCGUGGGCUGGAGCACUGUAGAGGCGGGUGGAAUUCCGGGUGUAGCGGUGGAAUGCGUAGAGAUCGGGAGGAAGGCCGGUGGCGAAGGCGGCGCUCUGGAACAUUUCUGACGCUGAGGCUCGAAAGCGUGGGGAGCAAACAGG